rnacentral:lncRNA from 13 species
AUGUCCCCAGUGUCUCCUGUGUCCCCGGUAUCCAGUGUCCCCAGUGUCUCCUGUGUCCCCGGUAUCCAGUGUCCCCAGUGUCCCCAGUCCUGUGUCACCAGUGUGUCUGGUCCUGUGUCUCUGUGUCACCAAUGUUCCCUGUGUCCCUGCUGUCUCCUGGUGUCCCUGUGUCACCUGUGUCCCCAUCCCUGGUGUCCCUGUAUCCUCGGUGUCCCCCGUCCUGUGUCCCUGAUGUCCCCUGUGUCCUCUAGCCUGUGUUCAGUGCCCCCUGUCCCUGUAUCCCCGGUGUCCCCCGUGUCCCUGGUGUCCCUAUAUCUCCGUGUCCCCACUGUCCCCAGUGUCCCCACUGUCCCCACUGUCCCAUAUCUCCCUACUGUCCCUGGUGUCCCCAGUCUCAGCGGUGUCCCCAUGUCUCCCCAUGUGUCCCUGUGUCCUGUCCCGUGUGUCCCCACUGUCCCCUGUGUCCCUGCUGUCCUCCAUGUCCCUAUGUGUCCCCAUGUGUCCCUGCUGUCCCCGUGUGUCCCCAUUGUCCCCUGUGUCCCUGCUGUCCUCCAUGUCCCCGGUGUCCCCCUGUGUCCCCACUGUCCCUGUGUGUCCCCUGUGUCCCUGCUGUCCCCAGUGUCCCCCAUGUCCCUGUGUCCCCCGUGUGUCCCCACUGUCCCUGCUGUCCCUGCUGUCCCCGGUCUUAGUGGUGUCCCCCUGUGUCUCUGUGUGUCCCCUGUGUCCCUGCUGUCCCUGGUGUUCCCGGUCUCAGCGGUGUCCCCAUGUGUCCUUGGUGUCCCCACUGUCCCCUGUGUCCCUGUGUGUCCCCAUGUGUCCCCACUGUGCUGUGUGUCCCUGCUGUCCCCCAUGUCCCCGCUGUCCCCGUGUGUCCCUGCUGUCCCCCGUGUCCCCAUGUGUCCCUGCUGUCCCGUGUGUCCCGGUGUCCCCUAUGUCCUCCGUUUCCCCGCUGUCCCCGUGUGUCCCCUGUGUCCCCACUGUCCCUGCUGUCCCCCAUGUCCCCCUGUCCCCUGUGUCCCCCAUGUCCCCAUGUGUCCCCGCUGUCCCCCAUGUCUCCAUGUGUCCCUGUUGUCCCCAUGUGUCCCCGCUGUCCCCGGUGUCCCCGUGUAUCCCUGCUGUCCCCGGUGUCAGCGGUGUCCCCGUGUGUCCCUGGUGUCCCCCCAGUGUCCCCGUGUGUCCCUGCUGUCCCCGUGUGUCCCCGCUGUCCCCGCUGUGUCCCUGCUGUCCCCGGUGUCCCCCUGUGUCCCCGGUGUCCCCGGUGUCAGCGGUGUCCCCCUGUGUCCCCGCUGUCCCCCCAGUGUCCCCUGUGUCCCCGCUGUCCCUGGUGUCAGCGGUGUCCCCCUGUGUCCCCGCUGUCCCCCUGUGUCCCCGCUGUCCCCGUGUGUCCCCGCUGUCCCCCCGGUGUCCCCGGUGUCCCCGGUGUCAGCGGUGUCCCCGUGUGUCCCCAGGGGCCAGCAGUUUGCGCAGCAGAUGCAGCAGCAGAACCCCGAGCUCAUCGAGCAGCUCCGCAGCCAAAUCCGGAGCCGGACCCCGAGCGCCAGCAACGAGGAGCAGCAGGAAUGA